GGAGAGAUACCCAAGUGGUCGAAGGGGACGGUUUGCUAAACCGUUAGGGGGUCGAAUGACCCCGCGCGGGUUCGAAUCCCGCUCUCUCCGCCA
rnacentral:tRNA from 1 species